rnacentral:rRNA from 1 species
UAAGCGACUAAGCGUACACGGUGGAUGCCCUGGCAGUCAGAGGCGAUGAAGGACGUGCUAAUCUGCGAUAAGCGUCGGUAAGGUGAUAUGAACCGUUAUAACCGGCGAUUUCCGAAUGGGGAAACCCAGUGUGUUUCGACACACUAUCAUUAACUGAAUCCAUAGGUUAAUGAGGCGAACCGGGGGAACUGAAACAUCUAAGUACCCCGAGGAAAAGAAAUCAACCGAGAUUCCCCCAGUAGCGGCGAGCGAACGGGGAGCAGCCCAGAGCCUGAAUCAGUGUGUGUGUUAGUGGAAGCGUCUGGAAAGGCGCGCGAUACAGGGUGACAGCCCCGUACACAAAAAUGCACAUGCUGUGAGCUCGAUGAGUAGGGCGGGACACGUGGUAUCCUGUCUGAAUAUGGGGGGACCAUCCUCCAAGGCUAAAUACUCCUGACUGACCGAUAGUGAACCAGUACCGUGAGGGAAAGGCGAAAAGAACCCCGGCGAGGGGAGUGAAAAAGAACCUGAAACCGUGUACGUACAAGCAGUGGGAGCACGCUUAGGCGUGUGACUGCGUACCUUUUGUAUAAUGGGUCAGCGACUUAUAUUCUGUAGCAAGGUUAACCGAAUAGGGGAGCCGAAGGGAAACCGAGUCUUAACUGGGCGUUAAGUUGCAGGGUAUAGACCCGAAACCCGGUGAUCUAGCCAUGGGCAGGUUGAAGGUUGGGUAACACUAACUGGAGGACCGAACCGACUAAUGUUGAAAAAUUAGCGGAUGACUUGUGGCUGGGGGUGAAAGGCCAAUCAAACCGGGAGAUAGCUGGUUCUCCCCGAAAGCUAUUUAGGUAGCGCCUCGUGAAUUCAUCUCCGGGGGUAGAGCACUGUUUCGGCAAGGGGGUCAUCCCGACUUACCAACCCGAUGCAAACUGCGAAUACCGGAGAAUGUUAUCACGGGAGACACACGGCGGGUGCUAACGUCCGUCGUGAAGAGGGAAACAACCCAGACCGCCAGCUAAGGUCCCAAAGUCAUGGUUAAGUGGGAAACGAUGUGGGAAGGCCCAGACAGCCAGGAUGUUGGCUUAGAAGCAGCCAUCAUUUAAAGAAAGCGUAAUAGCUCACUGGUCGAGUCGGCCUGCGCGGAAGAUGUAACGGGGCUAAACCAUGCACCGAAGCUGCGGCAGCGACGCUGAUGCGUUGUUGGGUAGGGGAGCGUUCUGUAAGCCUGCGAAGGUGUGCUGUGAGGCAUGCUGGAGGUAUCAGAAGUGCGAAUGCUGACAUAAGUAACGAUAAAGCGGGUGAAAAGCCCGCUCGCCGGAAGACCAAGGGUUCCUGUCCAACGUUAAUCGGGGCAGGGUGAGUCGACCCCUAAGGCGAGGCCGAAAGGCGUAGUCGAUGGGAAACAGGUUAAUAUUCCUGUACUUGGUGUUACUGCGAAGGGGGGACGGAGAAGGCUAUGUUGGCCGGGCGACGGUUGUCCCGGUUUAAGCGUGUAGGCUGGUUUUCCAGGCAAAUCCGGAAAAUCAAGGCUGAGGCGUGAUGACGAGGCACUACGGUGCUGAAGCAACAAAUGCCCUGCUUCCAGGAAAAGCCUCUAAGCAUCAGGUAACAUCAAAUCGUACCCCAAACCGACACAGGUGGUCAGGUAGAGAAUACCAAGGCGCUUGAGAGAACUCGGGUGAAGGAACUAGGCAAAAUGGUGCCGUAACUUCGGGAGAAGGCACGCUGAUAUGUAGGUGAAGUCCCUCGCGGAUGGAGCUGAAAUCAGUCGAAGAUACCAGCUGGCUGCAACUGUUUAUUAAAAACACAGCACUGUGCAAACACGAAAGUGGACGUAUACGGUGUGACGCCUGCCCGGUGCCGGAAGGUUAAUUGAUGGGGUUAGCCGCAAGGCGAAGCUCUUGAUCGAAGCCCCGGUAAACGGCGGCCGUAACUAUAACGGUCCUAAGGUAGCGAAAUUCCUUGUCGGGUAAGUUCCGACCUGCACGAAUGGCGUAAUGAUGGCCAGGCUGUCUCCACCCGAGACUCAGUGAAAUUGAACUCGCUGUGAAGAUGCAGUGUACCCGCGGCAAGACGGAAAGACCCCGUGAACCUUUACUAUAGCUUGACACUGAACAUUGAGCCUUGAUGUGUAGGAUAGGUGGGAGGCUUAGAAGUGUGGACGCCAGUCUGCAUGGAGCCGACCUUGAAAUACCACCCUUUAAUGUUUGAUGUUCUAACGUUGACCCGUAAUCCGGGUUGCGGACAGUGUCUGGUGGGUAGUUUGACUGGGGCGGUCUCCUCCUAAAGAGUAACGGAGGAGCACGAAGGUUGGCUAAUCCUGGUCGGACAUCAGGAGGUUAGUGCAAUGGCAUAAGCCAGCUUGACUGCGAGCGUGACGGCGCGAGCAGGUGCGAAAGCAGGUCAUAGUGAUCCGGUGGUUCUGAAUGGAAGGGCCAUCGCUCAACGGAUAAAAGGUACUCCGGGGAUAACAGGCUGAUACCGCCCAAGAGUUCAUAUCGACGGCGGUGUUUGGCACCUCGAUGUCGGCUCAUCACAUCCUGGGGCUGAAGUAGGUCCCAAGGGUAUGGCUGUUCGCCAUUUAAAGUGGUACGCGAGCUGGGUUUAGAACGUCGUGAGACAGUUCGGUCCCUAUCUGCCGUGGGCGCUGGAGAACUGAGGGGGGCUGCUCCUAGUACGAGAGGACCGGAGUGGACGCAUCACUGGUGUUCGGGUUGUCAUGCCAAUGGCACUGCCCGGUAGCUAAAUGCGGAAGAGAUAAGUGCUGAAAGCAUCUAAGCACGAAACUUGCCCCGAGAUGAGUUCUCCCUGACCCUUUAAGGGUCCUGAAGGAACGUUGAAGACGACGACGUUGAUAGGCCGGGUGUGUAAGCGCAGCGAUGCGUUGAGCU